rnacentral:lncRNA from 1 species
AUCAAGAGUUGUGAGAUUCUAGGUUCUUUACUGAAACGAUUAUUCUAGAAUUUUCAACUGGUUUUAUUCUCAAUAGACAGACAGGGUAAGUCAAAAACUACAAAGUAUCAGAACUUGUGCCUUAAAAACCAUUGAUGGAAAUGAGCUCAUGUACACAGCUGCUCCAACUUCCCCAUUUGAGGACCACCUGCCAUAGACAGACCGAGAGAGCUAGCAGGACUCUUGAGCAGAACCUAUGGCCAUUCUGCAACAAGAACAUCAUUUCCCUGAAAUCAGGUUUUAUCAUAUUUGUUUCCAAGAAAAUACUAGAUUACUUACAAGCUAAAUUACCUUUCCCCCAAAUCUUCAAGUAAAA